GGUAAGGUAAGGGAGUUACUCGGUUGCAAACCAUACAUUGUUACACCCGGGUUGUUCAGCCCUACCAGGACGGUUCUGGGACAGUCGCAGCGACCGAAGCUGGUAAACAUUUUACACGUAGACAGCUUUGGAGCUCACUCGGUGUAUUUUGUAGCUGCUGUAGUUCCCUCCUCUCCCGAAACACGAUCCCUGGGUAGGCGGGCGGGGGCAGCGGCCGCCAGCAGCCGGCACGGCACCCCCGCGCUCGAAACCCGCCGGGAUUCCCCAUCCUGCCGCUGGUCUGAGCGCGCCCACCGUGGAAACCGGAGGGAACGGCGCCCAGCAGCCGCGGCGGGGCAGGCACAAGUACGGCGCUGCGAGGCGGGGAGCGGAGCGCGGGGCUCUCCCUUCCAGAGCCGGGCGGGCCCCGCUCCGCGCCCGGGGAGCCGAGCUGAAGCCCCGCAUGGCGCGGCUCCACAUGGCGCAGCCCCGCUCGGCGGCAAGGUGAGUCUCCGGCAGCACCACCUGGGCAGGGGACGAGGGGCACGGGACGCCGAGCAGACCCUCCCGCGGGCUCCGGGCGAGGCCGCCGGGCAGCGGCGGCAUAGAUGGAGCGCGGGGGCGGCGGGCGGGAGCCGGGCGGGGCGCGGGCGGCGGCUCCCCCUGGCCGGGCGGCGCUUGGUUUCUUCUGCCAGCGGAGGCAGGGCCAGGCGCGGCGAGGGUGGGCGCGGAGUUGGCGGCAGGGCUGGGGGCAGUCGGCGGCGAACUGCGGCGGAGUUUGUUCUGUACGAGGGGCGGGAGGUCUCUCUGCGGGAAGCGGAGCGGAGCCGGCCCCCGAGGGGAAACGCCUGCCCCCGAAGAAAGGGCUGCCCGGAGCCGGCCCCCGCCUCGCCGCGCCGCCCGCAGCCGGAGGCGCCCGGAGGGAAAAGUUGCGC
rnacentral:lncRNA from 1 species